GUUACCUUUAAUUCAGUCCCGUGAGGCUGCCAAGGUGAAACAGAUAAGAUUCUGUUAUAAAAGGAAUAAGUAGGCAACUUUUUCUUUUAUGGAAGCACCCUGCACAAACACGGCAGGGUGCUUUUUUCUU
rfam:Virgibacillus pantothenticus strain DSM 26 super13, whole genome shotgun sequence.